CGUUUGAUCUGAUGAAUCUCAAGGACGGUAUCUGGGAAAGGCCGCUCCUGAGAGAGUGCUCCUUUCUUGAUUACACAUCCUAAACUGGUCUAAUAUUCUGAGUAAGCA